rnacentral:rRNA from 1 species
CCUACGGGAGGCAGCAGUGGGGAAUAUUGCACAAUGGGCGCAAACCUGAUGCAGCCAUGCCGCGUGUGUGAAGAAGGCCUUCGGGUUGUAAAGCACUUUCAGCGGGGAGGAAGGCGUUAAGGUUAAUAACCUUGGCGAUUGACGUUACCCGCAGAAGAAGCACCGGCUAACUCCGUGCCAGCAGCCGCGGUAAUACGGAGGGUGCAAGCGUUAAUCGGAAUUACUGGGCGUAAAGCGCACGCAGGCGGUCUGUCAAGUCGGAUGUGAAAUCCCCGGGCUCAACCUGGGAACUGCAUUCGAAACUGGCAGGCUAGAGUCUUGUAGAGGGGGGUAGAAUUCCAGGUGUAGCGGUGAAAUGCGUAGAGAUCUGGAGGAAUACCGGUGGCGAAGGCGGCCCCCUGGACAAAGACUGACGCUCAGGUGCGAAAGCGUGGGGAGCAAACAGGAUUAGAUACCCGAGUAGUC